rnacentral:rRNA from 1 species
CGGGGGGAGCAAGCGUUGUUCGGAUUUACUGGGCGUAAAGGGCGCGUAGGCGGCCACCGCAAGUCGAUUGUGAAAUCUCCGGGCUUAACCCGGAAAGGUCAACCGAUACUGCGGGGCUAGAGUGCAGAAGGGGCAACUGGAAUUCUUGGUGUAGCGGUGAAAUGCGUAGAUAUCAAGAGGAACACCUGCGGCGAAGGCGGGUUGCUGGGCUGACACUGACGCUGAAGUGCGAAAGCUAGGGGAGCGAACGGGAUUAGAUACCCCGGUAGUCCUGGCCUUAAACGAUGAAUGCUUGGUGUCUGGGGUUAUAUAGUCCCCGGGUGCCGUCGCUAACGCUUUAAGCAUUCCGCCUGGGGAGUACGGUCGCAAGACUG